CAACACUCACCCGGCAAAGGCUAGCCACCAGCCGGAAGCGAGCAUUGCGUAGUCGUUCCGUAAGGGCGGCACGAAGCGUAUGCAGCGAGUACCGAAGCCGCACUAUUCACCCUCGAAAAUUUCUUGAUCGUUGGGGUCUUCCUUAUCAUGCAAUGGGGGACAGCAUCGCAUUGGCCGCUACGGCAAUGGCCAGUGAGGCCCGACCGGGGUCCGAGACUG
rfam:Phycisphaerae bacterium SG8_4 WOR_8-12_189006, whole genome shotgun sequence.